CACAAAUAGAUAUAUGCGAGUGUGUUUAAUAAUCGGAAAAAACACCGAAUUGUUGCAGUGCAUUAGAGUCUGAACAUGUGACGCCAAAAAGUUCAACACAACGCUAUGAAGACUGUAUCAAGUCUGUUGAGCUUGAUUUUGGAAAAUAUAGUAAGAAGUUCAGCGUGUUCAAGAAAUUGAUUCAAGAUUGCAAGGAACAAAGGAUUACAGUACGAGAAACUGAACCAAGGUCUGAAAACUUGUUUCUGCAUCACCCCAAACUUUACAGAAAUUUCUGCAAUGCAGUGUUGCCGAGUCUGUAUCGGGUCUCCACAAGUGACGAAGUUGAUAGAGCAAAUCAAUUCAUCUGUAGCCUCGAGGUAAAGUUAUGAGUGGCUAUAUAUUGGAUGUUUUCGGGCUUCUGAACAUGAGUUAUAUCUGCAGGCAGCCUUUCCGAACAGCCAGAAACGCUGUGACUUGGCUGAGAAUCU